rnacentral:rRNA from 1 species
CAGUAGCCGCGGGAAUACGAAGGGUGCAAGCGUUACUCGGAAUUACUGGGCGUAAAGCGUGCGUAGGUGGUGGUUUAAGUCCGUUGUGAAAGCCCUGGGCUCAACCUGGGAAUUGCAGUGGAUACUGGGUCACUAGAGUGUGGUAGAGGACAGUGGAAUUUCCGGUGUAGCAGUGAAAUGCGUAGAGAUCGGAAGGAACAUCUGUGGCGAAGGCGACUAUCUGGGCCAACACUGACACUGAGGCACGAAAGCGUGGGGAGCAAACAGGAUUAGAUACCCGAGUAGUCCCUGUCUCUUAUAC